rnacentral:ribozyme from 1 species
UUCUUGCCACGAACCGGCGCCGAAACUUCACGCACCCAAUCGAUGAAAAUCGGCCCCGGGACCAUGGUGGCAAUCUAGAGUCUCUAGAGAGUGUAGAUGUGCCCCAAGCUCGCCUAAAUUCAAUAGCAACUGU